GCUCAGGAUGAACGCUGGCGGCGUGCUUAACACAUGCAAGUCGAGCGAAGCGCUUUGGAAAGAUUCUUCGGAUGAUUUCCUUUGCGACUGAGCGGCGGACGGGUGAGUAACGCGUGGGUAACCUGCCUCAUACAGGGGGAUAACAGUUAGAAAUGACUGCUAAUACCGCAUAAGACCACGGUACCGCAUGGUACAGUGGUAAAAACUCCGGUGGUAUGAGAUGGACCCGCGUCUGAUUAGGUAGUUGGUGGGGUAACGGCCUACCAAGCCGACGAUCAGUAGCCGACCUGAGAGGGUGAUCGGCCACAUUGGGACUGAGACACGGCCCAGACUCCUACGGGAGGCAGCAGUA
rnacentral:rRNA from 1 species